rnacentral:rRNA from 1 species
UACGUAGGGGGCAAGCGUUGUCCGGAUUCAUUGGGCGUAAAGAGCUCGUAGGCGGCUUGGCAAGUCGGGUGUGAAAACUCCAGGCUCAACCUGGAGACGCCACCCGAUACUGCCAUGGCUAGAGUCCGGUAGGGGACCACGGAAUUCCUGGUGUAGCGGUGAAAUGCGCAGAUAUCAGGAGGAACACCGGUGGCGAAGGCGGUGGUCUGGGCCGGAACUGACGCUGAGGAGCGAAAGCCAGGGGAGCGAACGGG